rnacentral:lncRNA from 1 species
GCACCCCGAGGCCCUCGCAAAGUCUCACCCCAUUCCGAGUCCGGCGGACGAACUUCGCCCGCGCCCCCCACCAAGGCUAUAGCCCACCCGUUUUUUGGCCAUUUUUCCGCUGGGGGGUUUUGGCACCACGACCUUCGGGCGCUUAUUUUUGGGCGCGGCUUUGCCCGCGGCUUAUUUUUGGCACCCCGAGGCCCCUCGCAAAGUCUCGCCCCAUUCCGAGUCCGGCGGACGAACUUCGCCCGCUCCGCCCACCAAGGCUAUAGCCCACCCGUUUUUUGGCCAUUUUUCCGCUGGGGGGUUUUGGCACCACGACCUUCGGCCGCUUAUUUUUGGGCGCGGUUUGCCCGCGGCUUAUUUUUGGCACCCCGAGGCCCCUCGCAAAGUCUCGCCCCAUUCCGAGUCCGGCGGACGAACUUCGCCCGCGCCCCCCACCAAGGCUAUAACCCACCCGUUUUUUGGCCAUUUUUCCGCUGGGGGGUUUUGGCACCACGACCUUCGGGCGCUUAUUUUUGUGCGUGGCUGUGCCCGCGACUUCCCGCGGGCACCCCGAGGCACCUCGCAAAGUCUUGCCCCAUUCCGAGUCCGGCGGAUGAACUUCGCCCGCGCCCCCCACCAAGGCUAUAACCCAAUCGUUUUUUGGCCAUUUUUCCGCUGGGGGGUUUUGGCACCACGACCUUCAGGCGAUUAUUUUUGGGUGCGGCUGUGCCCGCGACUUCCCGCGGGCACCCCGAGGCCACUCGCAAAGUCUCGCCCCAUUCCGAGUCCGGCGGACGAACUUCGCCCGCGCCCCCACCAAGGCUAUAGCCCACCCGUUUUUUGGCCAUUUUUCCGCUGGGGGGUUUUGGCACCACGACCUUCGGGCGCUUAUUUUUGGGCGCAGCUUUACCCGCGGCUUAUUUUUGGCACCCCGAGGCCCCUCGCAAAGUCUCGCCCCAUUCCGAGUCCGGCGGACGAACUUCGCCCGCUCCGCCCACCAAGGCUAUAGCCCACCCGUUUUUUGGCCAUUUUUCCGCUGGGGGGUUUUGGCACCACGACCUUCGGGCACUUAUUUUUGGGCGCGGCUGUACCCGCGACUUCCCGCGGGCACCCCGAGGCCCCUCGCAAAGUCUCACCCCAUUCCGAGUCCGGCGGACAAACUUCGCCCGCGCCCCCCACCAAGGCUAUAGCCCACCCGUUUUUUGGCCAUUUUUCCGCUGGGGGGUUUUGGCACCACGAUCUUCGGGCGCUUAUUUUUGGGCGCGUCUUUGCCCGCGGCUUAUUUUUGGCACCCCGAGGCCCCUCGCAAAGUCUCGCCCCAUUCCGAGUCCGGUGGACGAACUUCGCCCGCGCCCCCCACCAAGGCUAUAGCCCACCCGUUUUUUGGCCAUUUUUCCGCUGGGGGGUUUUGGCACCACGACCUUCGGGCGCUUAUUUUUGGGCGCGGCUGUGCCCGCGACUUCCCGCGGGCACCGCGAGGCCACUCGCAAAGUCUCGCCCCAUUCCGAGUCCGGCGGACGAACUUCGCCCGCGCCCCCCACCAAGGCUAUAGCCCACCCGUUUUUUGGCCAUUUUUCCGCUGGGGUGUUUUGGCACCACGUCCUUCGGGCGCUUAUUUUUGGGCGCGGUUUGCCCGCGGCUUAUUUUUGGCGCCCCGAGGCCCCUCGCAAUGUCUCGCCCCAUUCCGAGUCCGGCGGACGAACUUCGCCCGCGCCCCCCACCAAGGCUAUAGCCCACCCGUUUUUUGGCCAUUUUUCCGCUGGGGGGUUUUGGCACCACGACCUUCGGGCGCUUAUUUUUGGGCGCGGCUGUACCCGCGACUUCCCGCGGGCACCCCGAGGCCCCUCGCAAAGUCUCGCCCCAUUCCGAGUCCGGCGGACGAACUUCGCCCGCGCCCCCCACCAAGGCUAUAGCCCACCCGUUUUUUGGCCAUUUUUCCGCUGGGGGGUUUUGGCACCACGACCUUCGGACGCUUAUUUUUGGGCGUGGCUUUGCCCGCGGCUUAUUUUUGGCGCCCCGAGGCCCCUCGCAAAGUCUCGCCCCAUUCCGAGUCCGGCGGACGAACUUCGCCCGCGCCCCCCACCAAGGCUAUAGGCCACCCAUUUUUUGGCCAUUUUUCCACUGGGGGGUUUUGGCACCACGAUCUUCGGGCGCUUAUUUUUGGGCGCGUCUUUGCCCGCGGCUUAUUUUUGGCACCCCGAGGCCCCUCGCAAAGUCUCGCCCCAUUCCGAGUCCGGUGGACGAACUUCGCCCGCGCCCCCCACCAAGGCUAUAGCCCACCCGUUUUUGGGCCAUUUUCCGCUGGGGGGUUUGGCACACGACAUUCGGGCGCUUAUUUUGGGCGCGGCUGUGCCCGCGACUUCCCGCGGGCACCGCGAGGCCACUCGCAAAGUCUCGCCCCAUUCCGAGUCCGGCGGACGAACUUCGCCCGCGCCUCCCACCAAGGCUAUAGCCCACCCGUUUUUUGGCCAUUUUUCCGCUGGGGUGUUUUGGCACCACGUCCUUCGGGCGCUUAUUUUUGGGCGCGGCUUUGCCCGCGGCUUAUUUUUGGCACCCCGAGGCCCCUCGCAAAGUCUCGCCCCAUUCCGAGUCCGGCGGACGAACUUCACCCGCGCCGCCCCCCAAGGCUAUAGCCCACCCGUUUUUUGGCCAUUUUUCCGCUGGGGUGUUUUGGCACCACGACCUUCGGGCGCUUAUUUUUGGGCGCGGUUUGCCCGCGGCUUAUUUUUGGUACCCCGAGGCCCCUCGCAAAGUCUCGCCCCAUUCCGAGUCCGGCGGACGAACUUCGCCCGCGCCCCCCACCAAGGCUAUAACCCACCCGUUUUUUGGCCAUUUUUCCACUGGGGGGUUUUGGCACCACGACCUUCGGGCGCUUAUUUUUGGGCGCGGUUUGCCCGCGGCUUAUUUUUGGCACCCCGAGGCCCCUCGCAAAGUCUCGCCCCAUUCCGAGUCCGGCGGACGAACUUCGCCCGCGCCCCCCACCAAGGCUAUAACCCACCCGUUUUUUGGCCAUUUUUCCGCUGGGGGGUUUUGGCACCACGACCUUCGGGAGCUUAUUUUUGGGCGUGGCUGUGCCCGCGACUUCCCGCGGGCACCCCGAGGCCCCUCGCAAAGUCUCGCCCCAUUCCGAGUCCGGCGGACGAACUUCGCCCGCGCCCCCCACCAAGGCUAUAACCCACCCGUUUUUUGGCCAUUUUUCCGCUGGGGGGUUUUGGCACCACGACCUUCGGGCGAUUAUUUUUGGGUGCGGCUGUGCCCGCGACUUCCCGCGGGCACCCCGAGGCCACUCGCAAAGUCUCACCCCAUUCCGAGUCCGGCGGACGAACUUCGCCCGCGCCCCCCACCAAGGCUAUAGCCCACCCGUUUUUUGGCCAUUUUUCCGCUGGGGGGUUUUGGCACCAN